rnacentral:misc_RNA from 1 species
CCCGAUCAUUGUACCUCAAUUCUUAAAACACAAAAAUUAACUGAACAGAAUAGAUUUCCAAAUGGCUAAUCCUUAUGUCCUUCAAAUUACAGUUACAAACGCGGAUCAGAGAAAGUGGCCAACGUAGAAAUAUUACAUUGGAAGGAAUCCCUCCCCAAUGACUAAGCAGCCUCCGGACUUCUCUCUCACUCUUUCUAUGAACAAGAA